rnacentral:rRNA from 1 species
CGCUGAGUUUGAUCCUGGCUCAGGAUGAACGCUAGCGGCAGGCUUAACACAUGCAAGUCGAGGGGUAUAGUUCUUCGGGACUUGAGACCGGCGCACGGGUGCGUAACGCGUAUGCAAUCUACCUUUACAGAGGGAUAGCCCAGAGAAAUUUGGAUUAAUACCUCAUAGUAUGUGAGAAUCGCAUGGUUUUCACAUUAAAGUUCCAACGGUAAAAGAUGAGCAUGCGUCCCAUUAGCUAGAUGGUAAGGUAACGGCUUACCAUGGCGACGAUGGGUAGGGGUCCUGAGAGGGAGAUCCCCCGACACUGGUACUGAGACACGGACCAGACUCCUACGGGGAGCAGCAGUGGGGAAUUUUGGACAUGGGCGCAAGCCUGAUCCCAGCCCAUGCCGCGUGCAGGAUGACGGUCCUAUGGAUUGUAAACUGCUUUAGUACAGGACGAAACUCUCCCGUGUGAGGUAGCUUGACGGUACUGUAACGAUACGGAUCGGCUAAC